rnacentral:rRNA from 1 species
GGUUAGUGCAAUGGCAUAAGCCCGCUUGACUGCGAGAAUGACAAUUCGAGCAGGUGCGAAAGCAGGUCAUAGUGAUCCGGUGGUUCUGAAUGGAAGGGCCAUCGCUCAACGGAUAAAAGGUACUCCGGGGAUAACAGGCUGAUACCGCCCAAGAGUUCAUAUCGACGGCGGUGUUUGGCACCUCGAUGUCGGCUCAUCACAUCCUGGGGCUGAAGUCGGUCCCAAGGGUAUGGCUGUUCGCCAUUUAAAGUGGUACGCGAGCUGGGUUUAGAACGUCGUGAGACAGUUCGGUCCCUAUCUGCCGUGGGCGUUGGAUGAUUGAAGGGGGCUGCUCCUAGUACGAGAGGACCGGAGUGGACGAACCUCUGGUGUUCGGGUUGUCACGCCAGUGGCAUUGCCCGGUAGCUAAGUUCGGAAUCGAUAAACGCUGAAAGCAUCUAAGCGUGAAGCGAGCCCUGAGAUGAGUCAUCCCUGAUACUUUAAGUAUCCUAAAGGGUUGUUGGAGACUACGACGUAGAUAGGUCAGGUGUGUAAGUGCUGCGAGGCAUUGAGCUAACUGAUACUAAUUGCCCGUGAGGCUUAACCAUACAACACCC